GUUCCCCGGCUUUGCCGCGCGGAGGAAGUCCCGGUUACGCAGAGCGCGCUGGGGCAGGGCUGACCUUCCCCUUUCUCUACUUCACUGGCCUCCUCCAGACGUGGUGGUUGCGCCCUUUCGGCCUCGCUUUCCGUUUUUUGGCUUCAUCCCCUAGAUCUGCAAACAGUUCCUCGUGUUUCUUCCGUUAGCCGGGAAACGCGAACUGCAGCGUUUGGGACCCGGGUUUGCGCGUGUGGAAAGCAAAAGGGGUUACUCUGCUGGAGUUCGACAUUGCAAAUAAAGGUCUUUAUCCCCGGCGGUUCUACAAAAUUAGUUCUGCAGGGAUUCUGGUUGAAAGAAGCGUUAAAGUGGGCCUUGUAGGAGUCAGCAAUAAUCCAAUUUUACAUGGGUGCAGGUGGCUGCCUGUGUCUAGCGCUUUCACACAUCUCAUAUCUUCAUCCACGCCGUGGGUAUUUUUUUUCCACGGUGUGUUUCUGUUGCUGCCUCCAGUAUAUUGCUUAAUCAUCCUACCUGGUAAUUAUUUAUGCAUUUUUCUCCUACUCUCGACUCAGCUCCUAGGGAAUAAAAACACAUUAACUUAUCUUUGUGCCCACAGCACCCACCAAGUAUUUCCAUCACGUAAUACUGCCUCUAGAAAGGCAGGAGGAGAAGCAGUCACGCUAAGGAUCUAGGCAAGCCAGAUCUUUUGUCCGGUUUUAGGAGGUGGCCAGCCCUUACUUAUUCCACAAGUGUUUUUCCAGAAACUCAGACUUGAUAUUGCCUCAAGUCCAAGGCAGUGUGCUUCCCCCACUCACAUAUCACUAAUAGUAGCUAACAUUUGUUCAGAUCCCUGUAUGUACUCUGCCACUGUUUUAAAUGUUACACCCGGGUUACCUCAUUUAAUCCUUACAACUGCCCUGUGAGGUAGGUACUAUUAUUAUCUCUACUUUGUAGAUGGGAUUCACCGAGGCACAGACGGUUAAAAAACCUAGCCCAAAUAACACAAAUAAACAGCAGAGCAUGCAGUGCUAGAGUCUGCAUUCUUAACAAUUGCUAUAUUCUCCCUCUCCGUGAAUGUGGGCUGAGAUGCUGAAACAGGCAUGUGCUGUGGGGGAGAAAAAGCUUUGUCCAACCAAGUGCUUUCUAAUGUCCAGAUGACAUAGAGCUAGGAUUUCCUAAUGUCUUUUUUCCCCUAUUUUUCUCUCCAUUUCAGGGUUGAGUUUGUGCAUCGAUUGUGAACACAACAGGCAGCAGGCUAUAAUGGUGGUCCUGGCUGGAGUAGUUUUCACAGACUUCAGUAAUCUGUGGAGAUGAACGGGCAGUUCUCUGUAGUUUUCACAGAUCACUGCCAGUUCGUUUUGAGGCCUUCAGGAGUGAAGACCUGGCUCAUCAUCACUCUUUGUUGUUUUGUUAAAUUUAUUUACACCCUACUUUAUUCCAGAGGAAAGGAUUUAACGUAGUUUACAUAAAUGUGUACAUCAGGGUAAAUUAAAAAUAAGUACAGAGAAAAAUAGGACAAAAGAAAACCGUGAGUGUGAAAGAUAAGAUUAAGCCAGCAGUUUUGUAUGCAAAAUGCAUGGUGUAAGGUCCUAUUGGUUUGCUGGAGGUAGGCCACACAUAUGACUCUCAGUUUUCUAGCAACCAAGAAAAAGAUCAGUUGCAAUCGGAGUAGGUGUUUUGGCUAAGCUGGAACUAGGACUUGAAUAUAGCAGCUUGUAGAGUUAUACCACUUGCCCAAAUCUCUUCCAUGAGCCUCUUUAAGUGUAACAGAAUGCCUGGGAGCACGUAAAUGCUCCUACUUAGAUGCCUACUUAGCCUCUAAUUUUCAUGGGGCCCAUGAAUCCCAUGAAAAAGAACUUUGAACCCUGUCCACAAUUAGAGUUCAGGUAUACGCAGACAUGUUUAAAGACAAGGGACACCCAAAGGAAAGAUUGCACAGAGAGAAAGUGAGCAUCCGAGAGAAAAUCACCACAAGUGAGGCAGAGGGAGGCCGGUCUCAGCAGAGUUUUGGAGGUCGUGAGAAGAAGAGGUAGGAGAUAGGAGAGUGGUUCCGAGUACUUGCCUGCUGAUGUUACCUUCUCCACCCCCACCAGGUUUUCCAGUGCCUGGAGUCUUGGGCAGGAAUGGGCCACUGUAAGAAAGAGCUUUAUCACUAGGGCCUCAGCCAACUUUUCUGUGGGAUAUCCCUCCAAAAUAAUUAAGAGUUCAGAAUGCUUCAGAUUUUGAAGUGAAACUGGUACAUAUAUUAAGUGUUACUUAAUAACCCGAUAGUUUCUAGGGCAGCUCACCAUAAUCCCAAGUAUUAGCCACCACCCUCACCCCCUUCAGAGUAAAAUGUGUUUCCUGAAGGAAGUUGGGAAAAUGAAGAAAAAAAAUACAAAAAUCACCUAUAAUCUUACCAGUCAUAGAUGGCAGUUUUCCUGUCUUAUUUCUGAAUAAUGGUUGUUAAACAUUUGCCAGCACACCAUAAGGCUUAGGGAGGCAUCUGGGUCAUGCAUGUUAAUAUCCUUGGGUAAUUCCAGAAAUCUCUAUGAAGGGAAACUCCUGUUAUUUAUCUAGACUUCCUGAUUGCAAGGGGUUUGGGCAUCAUGAUUUAGGGGUCUUAAUAAAAUUAUUAUUUUAUUUUUACUAAUAGAUAAUGUCUGUGCCUAUCAGAUAAAGGCAAACCAGUGCUCAGAGGAACCCAACCAUCUCUGAAUUGAGACCAGAGAGCUGUCUCUAUGGAUAGUCCUUAGAGAAGGCAUUUCGGAACACAGUAAACAGCAGCCUGGUGACUCCGAUUACAGGGCCAGUUGCCUUUGUUACAAUAAAAGCAAGUCAUCUACACAGAUUUUUCCUACCAGGAAGAGCAUGUGCUGACCAACAGACAUGAAUUUCAGCCUGGUAGUUACAACAUUCACAGUAUACCCACAUCACUAAGCUGGGAGGCACAUUUUGAGACCCAGAAUCCUGACACCUCCAUGCCUUCAAAAGGAUUCCCAUGAUUGGCUCCUUCUUGUCCCUAAGUCUCAGCUAAAGUGUUAUCCUGAAGAAAGGCCUUCACUGAUGAUCCCAUCCAAAGUAAUCACUGUAUUACACCAUUCAAUUUUAUUCUUUGCAUAGCAUUUACCCAUUGCUAAUAUUUUUCUUAUUUAUUUAUUUUUUUUAAAUAAUCUAUCUCCUGUCAACUAGAAUGUAAGCCCUGAUAGGGCAGGACUCUUUUAUUACACUGUAUUUUCAUUAUUAUAUCUACAGUGCCAAAAACUAUCCCUAACACAGGGGAGAUGCUCUAUACAUGUUUGGGGAGGAGGGAGGAAGGAAGGGAGGGAGGGAGAGAGGAAAGAAGGAAGGAAGGUGGGAAGAAAGGAAAGAAAGGAAGACAAUUGGGAAGGAUUUUUCUGAUCUGAGGCUGAUUGUUGGAGGCAUCCAACUGGUUAUUAUUUUGCUUAACAGCAAAAUAUUUUUAUCCACCUCCUUUGGAAACAAGAGAUCUUAAAGAUGUUUUGAGUUGAUUACAUAAGACUAUUUAACAGUGGUUAUGAAAACAGAUGAGUUAUCCUGAGAGGCUUUACUAGAUAUUUGUCAUCAUGAGCUCAGUCUCAUAAGUUAUUAUAAUAGAAAAUCAGGAAAAACUGCUUAUGUGUUUGAAUUCAAGUAGCUAAGUCUCAAAAUAUAAUAAAAAACAGUUGCACUACAGAUUUUCUUUCAAAAUAGCUCAAAAAUACCUUGUUGGCAGCAAAGGGAGUAAUAAUAAAAUAUCUUCCAAAAAACCUGAAAAUAGGAAAUAAAUUUGCCUUCUGAGAGUUAAACCAGUCAUACACACACACACACACACACACACACACACGUGCACACAUGCACACAUGUGCACGCAUGUGAACAUGCAUAGAAUCACACAGAGAUUAGGCUAAACCCAAUGAGGGAGUAAACUGAGAGAUAACCAGUGUGUACCUGAAGACUUUGGGAAUACCCCUAACUUCAGUGACCUGGGGGUAAUCCAGGAAGGCAAUCACCAGAAUGUGUUUGUUAAUUUAAUCCGUUGUAUGGAGAAAGUCUGGAUGAACAGAGGAUGUAGGCAGAGAGCUGUCAGCCUGUAGCCUGGAAAACCUCAACCUAAGAAGCAAGGAGUGGGUAGCACACUCCCAACUACUGUUCAAGAGAGAAGGGGCCUUGGCCUAAGGAUUUGAGCUCUCAGGUCUCUGUGGCAAAUGUAUCUUUGGAUAAGUCAUCUACCCACCUCUCCUUACUCAGAUUUCAUGCUCCACAUGGCUCCCUGUGUGCUGAAGCCUGAUUAUAGGAAGCAAAGACUCUGGUCUGCUGAUGUGAAGGCUCACCUGUUAGCUGGUUGCAUUUAUGGUUAAAAUGGAAUGAAUUUGAAUUCUGGCUAUACAGCAGUCUCUGUGAGCUUGGGUUAGUAUGAGUUUACCUGUGAGAUAAAGUUCCAGAGCAGAGUGACUUGUGACUUGUGUUGGGUCCAUACUAAGUGGCAGACAGUGGACCAGAAUUUAUACCACAAAUCCAGGUUGGCUCUGAGAAGACACUGCCACUAAGGACUGAUCUAAACUCAGUUCCCUUUCAAGUUCACCAAUUGUAUGACUCACAUGACAUUGAAUGAGGCCGGGAGUGUGAUACUAGCUGGACUCACCUUCAAGAACCCAAAAGACCCCAGUGGAUAAGAUGUGGAUACUCUAGUCCAUGGGUCAGCAAACUUUUUCUGUGAAGGGCCAGAAAACAAAUCUAUUAGGCUUGUGGACCACAUACAGCCUCUAUUACAUAUUUGUUAUCUUC
rnacentral:lncRNA from 1 species